GGCUACUCCCACAUAUAUGCUUUUCUUCUCUUUCGAUAUAUCCCUUAGAAAAGCAGACACAAGAAAAAGUAACAGAGAAAUGAUCCAUCACAAGACCAAUUCAAUCAGGUUCAGGGUUAUUUCCAUCGGCUGUGCUGGAUUUGAUUGUUCUAGCUUGCGUUGAUGACGGUUCUUUGUGAUAUAAUUGGAAAACACUGUAUCAGUUUCACAGUCAAUACGGAGGUAAUUUUCGUACCUUUUUCUUAAAUUUUUCUAUUUUGUACUUAUGGGGUUGUAAUCUUUUAGAAUCUUGAUCUUUUAUGUUUUUUCUUUUACGUCAUUGCUCUCAGGAGAGGUUUGAGGCUAAUAAAUUUGUUUUCUCUUCUUAGUUCUCUAUUUCACGCAUUUUUAUUUAAAAAAUGACAUUUCUUAGAGUGAAUGUUUAAGCUAGAUAUAGGGAUUAAUAUCGAUACCUUUAUUUUACGUAUCAACUACAAAAAUUUAUGUAUUUUUUCCCCCUUAUUCAUGUCCGAAUAUACUAGUGUAAAUGAGUUUUUUCAUAUUUGA